rnacentral:rRNA from 1 species
AUACGGAGGGGGUUAGCGUUGUUCGGAAUUACUGGGCGUAAAGCGUACGUAGGCGGAUCGGAAAGUAAGGGGUGAAAUCCCGGGGCUCAACCCUGGAACUGCCUCUUAAACUCCCGGUCUUGAGUUCGAGAGAGGUGAGUGGAAUUCCUAGUGUAGAGGUGAAAUUCGUAGAUAUUAGGAGGAACACCAGUGGCGAAGGCGGCUCACUGGCUCGAUACUGACGCUGAGGUACGAAAGUGUGGGGAGCAAACAGCAUUAGAAACCCUAGUAGUCC